rnacentral:rRNA from 1 species
CCUACGGGUGGCAGCAGUGAGGAAUAUUGGUCAAUGGACGAGAGUCUGAACCAGCCAAGUAGCGUGAAGGAUGAAUGCCCUAUGGGUUGUAAACUUCUUUUAUAUGGGAAUAAAAUGUUCCACGUGUGGGAUUUUGUCUGUACCAUAUGAAUAAGGAUCGGCUAACUCCGUGCCAGCAGCCGCGGUAAUACGGGGGAUCCGAUCGUUAUCCGGAUUUAGUGGGUUUAAAGGGAGCGUGGGUGGAAUGUUAAGGCAGUGGUAAAAGUUUGCGGCUCAACCGUAAAAUUGCAGUGGAAACUGGCAGUCUGGAGUACAGUAGAGGGGGGGGGAAUUCGUGGGGUGCGGUGAAAUGCGUAGAUAUAACGAAGAACUCCGAUUGCGAAGGCAGAUCACUGGACUGCAACUGACACUGAGGCGCGAAAGUGUGGGUAUCAAACAGGAUUAGAUACCCUGGUAGUC